rnacentral:piRNA from 1 species
GCAGUAAAGGUGAGGGUCUGACC